GUUUGCUCUUUAGUCUAAAUGGUUACUUUAAGCAAACAUUAUUUAUGCCAAGUAUUGCUGGAUAAUAUAAGCCACUGUCUUACUUUUUUUGUUGUUGUUUAAUUGCAGUAAUCUUUAAGAUAUAAUGAGCAUUAUGAUUUGAGUAACAGCUUAUGCAGAUUUUUGUGAUAUGGUACAAAAGAAGCAGUUGUGUCUGCUGGUCAAAGUGUUAGAGACAGUUGUAAUUGUUUGCUGUCUUCUGGUAAUAAGUGUUGUAAUGUGCAUGCUCUUGCAGAACAUGUCAAAGAACAAAAGGCUCAUCUAGAUUUGUUGUAUUAUUUGUUGUCUGACAUUAACAAUGAUUUUGUGAUCUUCAGGAUAUGGUGUACCCACAAGGCAAGGCUCAAAACCAUCAAAACUUGGUGUUGGGCCUAGAGGUGGCCAGCCCGUGUCACAGGGAGAGAGGGGCGAUGGAUACGGCCUUGGUGCUGCUGGCUUUCUUGGAGCUGGUUUUACUAAUGGAUAUGGAGCAGGUCUUGGGGCAGGUGGAUAUCCACAGGGAGUUCGAGCAGGAAAGCAGAUUGCAGGCUACAGCAAUGGAUACGGCAGUGAGGUUUAUGGCACAGCAGACGGUUAUGGGGCAGGACCUGCCUACCCAUCAGUGUUAGCUGAUAAUGUUGGCCUGAAUGGUAUAGCUGGUCAUGGAGCUGGAGGCCUUGGAGGUCCAGGGCUGGUAGUGAACCCUGGCCUGGAUAUUGAUGCCAAGACUAGAAAGUAUGGGGCUGGUGGAGUUCUUGGAGCUGCCGGAUCCUUGCCUUAUGGUGGCCAGCCUGUGGUCUCAGCUGGACUUGGCCCUCAGGGCAAGACUGGUAGUUAUGGUGGAACUACAUACGGAGGAAUACCAACCCUUGGGCCAGACACUGCUCUGGGUGGUACAGGUGGAGCAUUGGAGCCUUUAGCAGGCGGAGCUGUAGGCCAGAUUCCUUACAGCGCACCAGUCAUUGCAGCUGGGCUUGAGGUUGAUGCCGAUUAUUCUUUUGGUGCUGAGCAACUCAGUCUGGGUGCUGAUGCUACAAAGACAGCCACCAAAUAUGGCACAGGCUAUGCAGCUGCGCUAAGUACUGCUGGUCAGGGGCCCUAUGGUGGACAGAAGGAUGGAGGCAAGCUUAGUGGCAUUUAUGGGAAUGGGUACAAAGGUUGA
ensembl:lncRNA